rnacentral:lncRNA from 1 species
GAAAGAAAUGGGUGAGCGAAGUUCCUCAGUAUCAAAUAAAAUGUAGUUCAAAGGAGGAGAGGCUGGUGUGAAGAGGAAAAUGACAAAGGUAUUUAAAGUAGUUCCAAACCAGGGUGAUUGCUGAGUUCUGGAGACAGACUGGGCUUCUGCUUUCUUUUGGUGGAGGUGUCUGCUUGCAGAAAAUUUAUGUUCUGGGGUGAGUAUUUAAUUUUGAAUAACGUUAUCAAGCUCAUAUUCCAGAACCUGGGGAGGGUCAUAGCUGCUGCUGUUGCUAGAGAAGUCUGCGGAGUUAAGAGCAAUAAAGGCAGUAAAAAUAAAACCUAAAAUAAGUAUUUGGCCUUCUGUUCCUCAGCCUUCUCACUAUGUUUACAACUUCAGGGAGACAAAGGAAACUCCAGCUCAUCUCCCACAUCAUUGAUUGAGAGGACCAUUUUCUGACUGUCUGCACACGACAGGUAUGAAGGACAGCUUUGGACCAGGGACUCAGAGGGAGGAUAACAAUAGCUGAAGAGUUUGAAAAGCAAGACAAGAGCACAGGGGAGACAAGGCAGGAGGCUGCAUCGUCAAUAGGGAAAGAGAUGGACAGCAUGAUACAGGACGUACUU